GAGGAAUAUUGCACAAUGGGCGAAAGCCUGAUGCAGCAACGCCGCGUGAGUGAUGAAGGCCUUUGGGUCGUAAAACUCUGUCCUUGGGGAAGAAAAAAAUGACGGUACCCUUGGAGGAAGCCCCGGCUAACUACGUGCCAGCAGCCGCGGUAAUACGUAGGGGGCGAGCGUUAUCCGGAAUUAUUGGGCGUAAAGAGUGCGUAGGUGGUUUUGUAAGCGUAGGGUGAAAGGCAGUAGCUCAACUACUGUUAGCCCUGCGAACUGUGAGACUUGAGUGCAGGAGAGGAAAGUGGAAUUCCUAGUGUAGCGGUGAAAUGCGUAGAUAUUAGGAGGAACACCAGUGGCGAAGGCGACUUUCUGGACUGUAACUGACACUGAGGCACGAAAGCGUGGGUAGCAAAC
rnacentral:rRNA from 1 species